rnacentral:rRNA from 1 species
UAAUACGAAGGGGGCUAGCGUUGUUCGGAAUUACUGGGCGUAAAGCGCGCGCAGGCGGUUCGAUAAGUUGGGGGUGAAAUCCCCGGGCUCAACCCGGGAAUGGCCUUCAAGACUGUCGAGCUAGAGGACGAGAGAGGUGAGUGGAAUUCCCAGUGUAGAGGUGAAAUUCGUAGAUAUUGGGAAGAACACCGGUGGCGAAGGCGGCUCACUGGCUCGUUUCUGACGCUGAGGCGCGAAAGCGUGGGGAGCAAACAGG